CUCCACUAGGUAAAACAUGUACUCAUCAUACAGGAGGCGAAUCAGGUGGAAGGAACCAAAGCUGGCAGCACUGCGCAGGGUCAGGUCCCUGAUCACCAUCGAACUACAGAGACAGGAAGGAACAAAACCUGUAGAAGGACCAUUUGAGCAGGAACUGCCGAGCCGCCCUGGGGAAGCUGGGCCGGUGCUCGUAGGGUUUGAGCACCUGAGUCACCACAUUGUCCAGCCAGGCUGCCCAUUGCUCCAAAGAGCUUUGCUGCUGUAGUGUGGCCUUGAAGUCCUGCUCCAAGUGCUGAACCACUCCCUCCUCACACUGGCAUACCCACGAUGCCUGCUCCUAUACAGCAACAUAUGUGGCACCCUCUACUGAGUCAGGAGGAGAGUAACGCCAGAACGUCUGCCACAGCUUCUCAAUGAGACUGAACUGGAGGUUGACAACUACAUCCAAGAUAGCCUGAAACAAAAACAAAGAGUAAACAAAAACAGUGAAUAGUUUUCAUUGGAACUACUUUCUACAAGAAGAAGAAAUUGUCCCUGUUGACAGUGAGGUCUGUGGAUUAUCCACAGGAACAAAUGUAUUCUCACAGUGCUCUCAGGACCACAAAUGAAAUUCCAUUCACCUCCACUGUAUUGACAUGGCAGCAGAAAUCUCUCACAUGGACAGCUCAAAACCUCGGCACAUCGUUCAAACUGUCUGCAAACUGUUAGAAAGCACUAGGUGGACAGCUGUCUGUCAGACCACAAGGCCUUUGGUCAUCACCUGUGAAUGACCUGAUUCCUCGCUUAUCCAGACAUUAGAAGAAUUGUGAUUGAAAACUUCACAAGAUGAAGAGAAAAUUCUGUUCUAAAAUGCCAGUGGAUGGCAUUUACAAACCUCUGCCACUAUAAACACACAUGACCUUUCCCAAAGUUUCUACACUUCGAAUCCAGCCAAAGUUUAAAUGUGUGCUCUUUUUUCAAAAUUUGUAAAACUUUGAUUCAGUAUUUCCUGUCUCACCAGCUUUUUCUUAUUAAAGAUAGCUUAAAUAAGAUUAAACUACUAAAAUGCUGCGAGACACUGGUGGAUUCAGGCAUGUGUACCUAAUGGGGAAACACAUGGACUCAGUUCUAGGAGAGAAUGAGAAUCUUAAUAGAAAGCAGAUCAAUAGGAAAAUGUACUGUGACAAUACCUGCAUAGUGAGAGAUUAUGUUUUAUCAAUGAAUGCUACUUUCUUGGAAUACUGAAGAGAUAAUUGAUCCCCUGCUCCCCCUGUGAAUCAAAGACUUAUGUGCCAGAGUGUGCUGUGGUGACUUUGCAGUGAAAAUGAAAAGAACGCAUCAUCUAACCUCACAGUGCUCUCUGUAAAGGGACUGAAGAGCUUUCACAUCAUCCGGACUGAUGUUCUCUGUAUUGCUCGGUCCCAGGUCCAGCUCCACAAAGUCAGGGAGUGCCCGCGAUGCAUCUGUUGGGGCAUUCAGAUAAAGAGAAAAGCUGCUGACCCAGGAACUGCUGGUGGUGUUGGCUCUGCGCAAUGACUGUCUGCUCUGCUGCACCAGGGUGGUGCUGGCCUCCACCUGAGUAAUUCUCCCCAG